AAUCAACGCUGGCGGCGUGCCUAACACAUGCAAGUCGAACGCGAAAGCCCUUUCGGGGGUAAGUAGAGUGGCGUCCGGGUGAGUAACACGUAGGUAAUCUACCUUCGGGUGGGGAAUAACUCGCCGAAAGGCGAGCUAAUACCGCAUAAUGCAGCGGCACCUAAUGGUGAUUAGUUGUUAAAGCGGGGGAUCGUAAGACCUCGCGCCUGAAGAGGAGCCUGCGGCAGAUUAGCUAGUGGUGAGGUAAUGCUCACCAAGGCUUCGAUCUGUAGCUGGUCUGAGAGGACGGCCAGCCACACUGGCACUGACACACGGGCCAGACUCCUACGGGAGGCAGCAGUGGGGAAUUUUGGGCAAUGGGCGCAAGCCUGACCCAGCAACGCCGCGUGGAGGGAGGGAAAUCC
rnacentral:rRNA from 1 species